rnacentral:rRNA from 1 species
UUAGUGGCGGACGGGUGAGUAACGCGUGGGUAACCUGCCUUACACAGGGGAGUAACACUUAGAAAUAGGUGCUAAAACCGCAUAAGCGCACAGCUUCGCAUGAAGCGGUGUGAAAAACUCCGGUGGUGUAAGAUGGACCCGCGUCUGAUUAGCUUGUUGGCGGGGUAACGGCCCACCAAGGCGACGAUCAGUAGCCGGCCUGAGAGGGCGGACGGCCACAUUGGGACUGAGACACGGCCCAGACUCCUACGGGAGGCAGCAG